CUACGUGCCAGCAGCCGCGGUAAUACGUAGGGAGCGAGCGUUAUCCGGAUUUACUGGGUGUAAAGGGCGUGUAGGCGGGCUGGCAAGUCAGAUGUGAAAACCAGGGGCUCAACCUCUGGCCUGCAUUUGAAACUGCUGGUCUUGAGUGCUGGAGAGGCAAUCGGAAUUCCGUGUGUAGCGGUGAAAUGCGUAGAUAUACGGAGGAACACCAGUGGCGAAGGCGGAUUGCUGGACAGUAACUGACGCUGAGGCGCGAAAGCGUGGGGAGCA
rnacentral:rRNA from 1 species